rnacentral:tRNA from 1 species
GGCCGGGUAGUCUAGCUUGGUAUGAUACUACCUUGGGGUGGUAGUGAUCGUGGGUUCGAAUCCCACCUCGGUCACCA